AGUCGAGCGGAGAUGAGGUGCUUGCACCUUAUCUUAGCGGCGGACGGGUGAGUAAUGCUUAGGAAUCUGCCAUUUAGUGGGGGACAACAUUCCGAAAGGAAUGCUAAUACCGCAUACGUCCUACGGGAGAAAGCAGGGGAUCUUCGGACCUUGCGCUAAAUGAUGAGCCUAAGUCGGAUUAGCUAGUUGGUGGGGUAAAGGCCUACCAAGGCGACGAUCUGUAGCGGGUCUGAGAGGAUGAUCCGCCACACUGGGACUGAGACACGGCCCAGACUCCUACGGGAGGCAGCAGUGGGGAAUUUUGGACAAUGGGCGAAAGCCUGAUCCAGCAAUGCCGCGUGCAGGAAGAAGGCCUUCGGGUUGUAAACUGCUUUUGUACGUAACGAAAAGGCCUGCCUUAAUACGGUGGGCCCAUGACGGUACCGUAAGAAUAAGCACCGGCUAACUACGUGCCAGCAGCCGCGGUAAUACGUAGGGUGCGAGCGUUAAUCGGAAUUACUGGGCGUAAAGCGUGCGCAGGCGGUGAUGUAAGACAGUUGUGAAAUCCCCGGGCUCAACCUGGGAAUUGCAUCUGUGACUGCAUCGCUAGAGUACGGUAGAGGGGGAUGGAAUUCCGCGUGUAGCAGUGAAAUGCGUAGAUAUGCGGAGGAACACCGAUGGCGAAGGCAAUCCCCUGGACCUGUACUGACGCUCAUGCACGAAAGCGUGG
rnacentral:rRNA from 1 species